rnacentral:tRNA from 1 species
ACUUAAAUAGCUUAUAUAGAGUUUAAUAUUGAAGAUAUUAAGGAAAUUGCUGAAUUUUUAAGUA